rnacentral:lncRNA from 1 species
UGGGAAGGAGGCACUGACAGACACUGUCAACAGGUCCAAAAACAUCAGACCAUGGAGAAGAAGAUGGGAAGCAAAGGUGAGGCUGUGCAGAGUGAAGGAGAAAUGCAUGACAGUCUGAUGGUUCCCCAAACAUAUCUUUCUGUGUCCAGACAGAGGCACGAAUACAAGACCGGGAAGACCACUAACUUCAUGGAACCUCACCUGGGAUCGCUCAUGCUGGUGAGAAGCCCUCAUGUCAUGAAGAGACUUGUACAGUCAUGGAGAAAAGCUGAGGCCUCCAACCAAAAACUAGCAUCAACCUUCCAGGCAUGUGAGUGA